rnacentral:rRNA from 1 species
GGGGGGUGCGAGCGUUGUCCGGAAUCACUGGGCGUAAAGGGCGCGUAGGUGGUCUGAUAAGGGUGUGGUGAAAGCCCGGGGCUCAACCCCGGGUCGGCCGUGCCGACUGUCAGACUAGAGUACUGUAGGGGCAGGCGGAAUUCCGGGUGUAGCGGUGGAAUGCGUAGAGAUCCGGAGGAAGACCGGUGGCGAAGGCGGCCUGCUGGGCAGUUACUGACACUGAGGCGCGACAGCGUGGGGAGCAAACAGGAUUAGAUACCCUGGUAGUCCACGCCGUAAACGAUGGGUACUAGGUGCCUGGGGGAGCGACCCCCUGGGUGCCGGCGCUAACGCAGGAAGUACCCCGCCUGGGGAGUACGGCCGCAAGGCUG